CUGACGCAGCGACGCCGCGUGAGGGAUGAAGGCCUUCGGGUUGUAAACCUCUUUCAGCAGGGACGAAGCGAAAGUGACCGUGCCUGCAGAACAAGGACCGGUUAACUACGUGCCAGCAGCCGCGGUAAUACGUACGGGGCUAGCGUUGUCCGGAAUUAUUGGGCGUAAAGAGCUCCGGUUCGGUUUGUCGCGUCUGAAGUGAAAAGGCUAGGCUUAACCCCGGGCCUGCAUUCGGUACGGGCAGACUUUGGAAAGGGAGGGGAGACUGGAAUUCCUGGUGUAGAGGUGAAAUGCGCAGAUAUAAAGAGGAACACCGGUGGCGAACGCGGUUCUCUGGGCAUUACCUGACGCUCAGGAGCGAAAGCGUGGGGAGCGAACAGGAUUACAUACCCUGGUACUCCACACCCUAUACGUUGGGCGCUAGGUGUGGGGGUCAUUCCACGGGUUCCGUGCCGCACCUAACGCAUUAAGCGCCCCGCCUGGGGAGUACGGCCGCAAGGCUAAAACUAAUAGGAAUUGACGG
rnacentral:rRNA from 1 species